UGACCUCAAAUCAGGUAGGACUACCCGCUGAACUUAAGCAUAUCAAUAAGCGGAGGAAAAGAAACUAACAAGGAUUCCCUUAGUAGCGGCGAGCGAAGCGGGAUGAGCUCAAAUUUGAAAUCUGGCGUCUUUCAGGCGUCCGAGUUGUAAUCUAUAGAAGCGUUUUCUGUGCUGGACCGUGUCCAAGUCCCUUGGAACAGGGUAUCAAAGAGGGUGACAAUCCCGUACUUGACACGACCACCAGUGCUCUGUGAUACGUUUUCGACGAGUCGAGUUGUUUGGGAAUGCAGCUCAAAAUGGGUGGUAAAUUCCAUCUAAAGCUAAAUAUUGGCGAGAGACCGAUAGCGAACAAGUACCGUGAGGGAAAGAUGAAAAGCACUUUGGAAAGAGAGUUAAACAGUACGUGAAAUUGUUGAAAGGGAAACGAUUGAAGUCAGUCGUGUCUAUUGGUUUCAGCCGGUUCUGCCGGUGUACUACCUUUAGACGGGUCAACAUCAGUUUUGGACGGCACAUAAGAGCAGUUUGAACGUAGCACCUCCGGGUGUGUUAUAGCUUUCUGUUGCAUAUGCUGUCCGAGACUGAGGACUGCAGCUCGCCUUUUAGGCCGGGGUUCGCCCACGUUCGAGCUUAGGAUGUUGACAUAAUGGCUUUAAACGACCCGUCUUGAAACACGGACC
rnacentral:rRNA from 1 species